AGUGACGGUGGCGUUUCCUUGAGGAAGAGUGAGGGUUCCAACUUUUCUGCUUAUCUGGGAGGUGUUGGGCGCGGACAGUCGAGAUGUCAGAGAAAAAGCAGCCGGUAGACUUAGGUCUGUUAGAGGAAGACGACGAGUUUGAAGAGUUCCCUGCCGAAGACUGGGCUGGCUUAGAUGAAGAUGAAGAUGCACAUGUCUGGGAGGAUAAUUGGGAUGAUGACAAUGUAGAGGAUGACUUCUCUAAUCAGUUACGGGCAACUGUACUCCUGAUGAUAUUGGUCUGUGAAACCCCGUAUGGCUGCUAUGUUCUCCACCAAAAGGGAAGAAUGUGCAGUGCUUUCCUCUGCUGUUAACAGAUCAUCAACCUGUAUGUGUUCAUGGCCCCACCUAAAUGUAAAGAGCUGGGAUGCACAGGAUUGGAGAGCUAUUAUUGAGCACUAGUCAUGUGGAUAUGUGCAUGGAGUCAGUAAGGAGGGAGUGGGGUGGUGCUACAGCAUUUCAGGCAAAGAGAGCAGCCUGGGUGAAGGUCCAGCCUGGGCAAGGUAGGAUUAUGGUUAGCAUACUGCAGUAUUGUUGGGUAGUAAGAGAUUAUGAUACUUCCUGUAGCUACAUAACAGGGGCUUACUUGAAGGGUGACCCUAUUUAUUGUUUCAGUCACCAGUGUUCAGUGGAAAGUCAUGUCUUUCAUAUAAAAAGGAGGUCAGGCACAGUGGCUCAUGCCUGUAAUCCCAGCACUUUGGGAGGGCAAGGCAGGUGGAUCACCUGAGGUCAGGAGUUCGAGACCAGCCUGGCCAACAUGGUGAAACCUGUCUCUACUAAAAAUAUAAAAAUUAGCCAGGCAUGGUGGUGCAUGCCUGUAAUCCCAGCUACUUGGGAGGCUGAGGCAGGACAAUUGCUUGAACCCGGGAGGUGGAGGUUGCCGUGAGCCGAGAUUGCACCACUGCAUCCCAGCCUGGGUGACAGAGCAAGACUCUGUCUCAAAAAGAAUGAAUAAAAAUAAAAAAUAAAAAUAAAAAUUAGAAGAAAUGACUUCCAUGUUUUAUUAUUUUAUUAAUUAUCUGCCUCCUAAAAGACAAACAAUUAAUUUUAUAUACUAUGUGUGGUAAAUAUAUGCAUUUUUUCACUUAAUUCUAAGUAGUAUCAUUAUUCCCAUUUUACAGAUGAUAAAACAGAGAAAAACAGACUAAGUGAUUUACUUAAGGUCACACCUCUGGUAAGUGAUACCCAGGCAGUCUGACUCAGGUGGUUUUUGGCCACUAUACUACUCUCAUACAGCUGAAAAAUGUUUUCUUUGUGUUGGCCAGGAAGGACCCUGGUGACCAGGUGCCUGACCCUGUAGAAGAGGAAGUGUUAUUGCAUCUUGCAGGGGCAGGACAGAGGACAGGGAAAAGGUAUGCAUAUAGUAUGCUAAUGAGGUUAUAUUUCCUUUUGGAGUUAGUGUUUAUCCUAAGAAUCAGAUUUGGGAUGGUGAGAAGCCACUAUUUUGUUAGCUUAACUAGAGAGUGUCCUUCCAGUGGUGUUAUUGUUGUUCUUUCAUACUAAGUGUUUUUGGACACUUCAGACUAUUGCAGUUGGAGAACAAAAGGUACCCCUUCUCCAGUGCCCAAGUCAUAGAGACACCAUCCAGGAAGUGAUGGUACUCAAAAUCAAAGUGUAAAAAACUAGAGUGAGGAAAAACUCAGCAGGGAUGAAGCUGGAGGUGUUGGACGACUGCCUUCUCCUACCUACGAUGUCUUCCCUCAAAGCUAAUACUUAGGUGGGCCUGCAUUUAUCGUAAUAAUGGAGGCUCUUUCCAUCAAACUUUUGGGUAGCUAUCUGCAACCUUCUACAGCUCAGUGGCCAGCAGUGACCUUGGGGCAGAACAGGCACAACUCUUGGUUUCCUGCCCACCACUGUUCGCUCUUUCCUUGUAAAAGAAAAGGGAUAGAAGUGCAAAGUACUACACAGAAGUCCUGAGAAGAAUCACUGGGUGUGCAGGAUGUUCAGUAAAUAAUUUUCAGGUGAUUAUACAUGAGAGGCCAUUGAGCUUCUGUUUGUCUUACUCGGAGUUACCACAGACUUUCACCCAAUGAGGACACUGACCUAAGAGCAGGCACAGGCCAUGUCAUCAGCCAGGGAGUACUAUAUUUGGUUUUCUAAAACCUAUUUUUAUAAGAGAGAUUUCUAGGAUCAGAUUUCCUAUCCCGAUAUGGGCAUUAUGUAAUAACAACAGGUUUCCCCAAUUACUGUUUACACUGUGAAUCUAAAGCCCUUAAUAAUAUUGUCCAGAUACCUAGUUUUUCCAUUUAGGAAUAGCCAUAAAUUGGAGUUUUUACAUGAGUAAUUCUGCUCUCUGAGGAGCAUCCUCUCCAGGCAUGCUCCGCAAUGUCUUAUACCUCUCAACUUUGCUUAUUUAGUUUCUCCAGGGUAGGAUGCUUUUUCCUCCCUUCUCUUCAAUCGGUUAUAUGUUCAUUAACUGUAAGAAUUCCUUUUUUGCAGUAUCCUCUUUCAGAAGACUUUUUUGAACUCCCAGGUUGAGCUCUGUGCCUCCCUUUCAGUUUUCCAUCACGCUCAAUAUCUUUAUCUUGUUCUUUAGGCUCAUUCAAGUAAAAUUAUCUACCCUGAAGUUUCUUUUGUGGGUUUUUCCUCCUCAUUAGAUUCUAAAGUCCUCAUGGGUGGGGAUUGUCUUUACUCAGCAUUUUUACCUCUAGAUCUAGUAAAGUUCUUCAUAAAUGUCAGUUAAACCAAAUUAAAUGGGUAAAAGCUGGUUUUCAAUAAGAUGUAGUGAGAGUUCCAUAAAUCUAUUGUAGCUUUGGAAGUGAGAAUUGUUUCUACUAAACUAUCACUGAAAAAAUGUCACCAAAAUUAAACCCCAUAAUGCAGCUGUCCCAGAAAAGGGAUAGACUUAAGUCUUAUUGCUGAUUUCUGAUUCUAAUUUGUUUUGAAACAGGUUGUUUUUUCAAGGUGUCUUAAUUUUUCUAGCUACAAAAUAGCUGUGGACAUUGUGUUCAUUGAAAUCUGUGGGGCUUGCUAUUCUCACUGAGUCAGCAUAUUAUGAAUGCAGUUUAUUAUUCCCAAAAUGUCGUGCAUGCAGCUUAAUCAGUGCAGAAGUGAAGACCAAGAGCCUUGGAGCAGUUGUACUGAUUUGACAUUUUCGUGGAAUCAACAAAGAGGAUAUAUCUCCAUGAGGCAAGCUACUGGAUUUCUCUCCCUCCCUAUAUUUCAAGCUAUAAACACAGUUUCCCCAUUGACAUUUAUUAGAAAGUAACACAAAGCAGAUUGCUAGGUUUGUACUCUACAGACAUUUUUAUAUCAGGCACAUUGCAUGCUCUCUGUAAAUCAAGCAUGAUGGCAUCCUUGCAGAUUAAGCUCUCAAAUCCUGUUCUACCAUUUUAAUAAUUUCACUGACUUAAUCUUUAUAUGAAUGAAGUAUAUAAUUUCCUCAAACAAUGCUUUGCUCCUCUGUGUUUGCCAAAAGAAUGCUUCAGUUUAGAAAUUUGGUCUGUGAUCUGUCAGAUGAGGAUACAAAAAGUUUAACUUAAACACAAACACUAGGUCACACAGGGACAGGAUCCAGAUGGUUUUGUAUUUGAUUACACCACCCUCCAUCUCCCUGGCAUCUAUAUCCUUUCUUCUAUUUUCCGCCAUCUGUCAAUAAACCUGAACAAAGAACUUAAUCACAUAUGCUAUCAACAGGUCAGUUUGAUUUUUUUUCUACCUUCUCUGUCACUGGGUGGUUAAAAAAGAGUAUAUUAUAAAGCAGUAUCUAGUUUUACAUCAUAAUUUAUGUUUUUCCCAAAGCUAAGUAAGCCUUAAGAUUAAGGCUGGGCCAUUUGCUCAUGUAACUCCAGUAUUUGAGACAAAUCAAAUGUUAUAUUUGAUCUAAUUUAAUGAGUUAGAAUAAAGUAUGUUUUUCUUCCAUUAUUUGCUGUUAAUAUGAAUUAUAGAUUUUGUUAUUUAUUAGUAAUAAAAUUGUAGAUUUUAUUAUUACUUGAUUAACAUUGGAAAUUUAGAAUCAACCAUAACAAGAAAUUAACAAUAGUAUUUAAAGUGGUUUCAAUGAUAUACCUUGAAGUCAGAAUCACCUGAUUUACUCCUGGCUCAGUUAUGUACUAGUCAUGUUGCCUCAGGCAUGUUACUUAGCCUCAUCUAUAAAGGAGGUAAAGGACUAUGUAACUUGCAGGAUUAUUGUAGGAUUAAUGAGAUAAUUUUGUACAGCAUUUAGCCCAGUGCCAAAUGAAGCCCUGUGUCAACAAAUAGUGAUCAUUUUCAUUAUUAAUAUUUGUGCUACUAUUAAAAUAUCUUUGAAUACUAAAGAAAAGAGAUAAAGUAAUAAAAUGGAGUUUUAAAAAACCACUACACUAUCAUGCAUUUUGAAAUGUGAUUCUCAAGUGGGUUCAUAAAAAUAUUUUUAUUAUAGACAGAUAUCACUCCAUGAAUACAAUUCUCAUUCACAAGUCAGGCCACUUAUCUUAUGUAUCCUAAAUAAAAGAGUGCAUAUUGCUUUUCUGUCAUGCUUUUGACCAAGUGGGCCAACUUUAUGUUAUCAGCCUGGAACAAGGUUCAACAAGUUGCAUCUGCAGACAAAAUCUAGCCCCCUGCCUGUUUUUGUGUGGCCUAAGAGCUAAUAAUCACGUGUAUAUUGUUAAGUAGUGGGGAAAUUUUUUCUAUACCAUUUUCUGAUUCAGGAAAAUUAUAUGAAAUUCAAAUUUCAGUGUCUAUAAAUAAAGUUUGAUGGAACAUAACCACACUCAUUGAUUUACAUAUUAUCUAUGGCAGCUUUUAAUCAGCAGAAUUGAGUAUUUAUGACAGAGACUACGUAACUUGCAAAGCCUAUCAUCUGUCCCUUUACAGGAAAAGCUUACAGAAAAAUUGACUCCUGACUUAGAAAAAUAAAAAUAUAUUUCUGGAUGAGGCUUUCGGAGUUCAGCACUCUCAAUUUAAAGAUCAGCAUUUUAGUUUCCUAGGGCUGCCAUAACAAAGUACCACAGACUGGGUGACUCAAAGCAACAGAAAUUUAUUGCUGCAUGCUUCUGGAGGCUAGAAGUCUGAAAUCCUAGAAGUCUGAAAUUAAGGUGUCAGCAGGGCCAUGCUCCCUCUGAAACCUGUGAGAAAGAAUCCUUCCUUGUCUCUUCCUAAUUUCUGGUGGUUUGCAUGUUCCCUGGCUUGCAGCUGUAUAACUUCAGUCCCUGCCUUUGUUGUCCCAUGGCAUUCUCCCUGUGUGUCUCUGUCUUCAGGGGGCCAUCUUCUUAUAGGGACACUAGUCUGAUGGACCCGUCUACUCCAGUAGGACCAUCUUAUUCAUUAUAUCUGCAAGAACCCCUUUCCAGGUAAGGUCACAUUCUGAAGUACUAGGGGUUAAGAUUUCAACAUGUCUUUUUUUGGUAGAGGGGAAAGGAACACAAAUGAACCAGUUACAAUCAGGAAAUUGGAGCCCUGACAUAUGAAGGAACUUAUUCAAAGUCACAAAGAGAGUUAGUGGAAGAACCAAGACAAACCUGGGAAGCUGAAUCUGUAGCUGAUUGAUGAAUAAUCUUUACACUACACCACAUGAAUCAAAGUGAAUUAAUCUGUUAUAUCUAAUGUAUAUGCAAUACUUAAUUUCAUUGAGUCCUUUUUAGAAUAUAUCUAUUUAAGCAUUAAUAAUGAAACACACUAUUUAAAGUUGAGGACUGUAAUUGGCUAAAAUUCCCAGUACUAUAAUUUUUAUUUAUUUUAUAGCAGAGAAGAAUAAUUGUGAUGAGGUGUAUUUGUUCUAUUUCAAUUGUCAGCUAACCAUUCUAAAAAACAGGAGUGUGUUCAUAAUCUACAUUAUGUGGCAACAGUAAUAUUUUACUAAAUUGUCAAAAUUUAUACUCUUAUUCAGAAGUGACAGCCGUACAAAACAAUACUAAAGAGGAAAACCCAGCAAUAUAAAUAGUAAUUUAAGCACUUAAAAAUAAUAUGAUAUACACCUACUAUGUAUGCACAAAAAUUAAAAUAUCUGAUAACUCUACAAUUUCAUUUCUUUUCUCAAUGCCUAUCACUUUUAUCACCUAUAGGAAUUCAACUUUCAAGUUGUUUCUUUCUCAGAGUUGCUCUAAAAGUAGUAUUCGUGGGUGGGUUUCCACCUCCACAGGUCUGUCACUGGUUGUAUACAGGGAGCUAAUAGAAUUUUUCAGUGUUAAAAUAUGGAUUGUGAAAAAGGAUCCCUUCAAAACUAAAAGUGAUAGAGACAUGGCAGAUAAAGAACGAUAUUGGUGUUACACAAACAGGAAGAGGAGAUGGGAAAUUUUAACCAGGUCAUAUUUACCUGUAAAUACCAAACUAUAUUCUUUACAAUAUUUUUCAAGUGGUAUUAGGUGUGUAUAUUGUGGGGAAGCUCAGGCCGUUGGGACUAAAGAAAGCCACCCAUGUGAUUUAGCAAUGUGGUUCUCUUCAGCUGAAUCCAGGCUUUUUGGUUUAAUGUUUUGGAAGAUUCUUCUGCUUCCAUCUGCCAGCACUAAGGCAAUUGAGUAUGUGGCUCAGUAACCCUAGAGAAAAAACAUCCCUGAAUGAACCUCCAGCGGUGACAUUCAUAUAUCCAAAAGCUAAAAUAAUCCCAAGAUUCGGGGAUUAUGCUUUGAAGGAAAAAGUUGACAAUAGCUUUGUUACUGCACAGAAAGUUCCAAGUUUACCGUGGCCAAUAGGUAAUUAAUUGUCAUAACCUACGCCUUUGAAGUAAAUGGAAGGAAGGAAAAAUUACCCCAUUUGACUGAUAGAAAAACUGAGACAAGGGCAGCUAACUUGCUUGUGGUUACCCAGGGAAUAGUUGGCUGAGACUCCAGGAUUCUUGACUCCAAAUUCAUUGCCGUAACCACCAGACUGAAACCGGCCGCCAAAGGCUGUAAUUUGGUCUUGAGGCUGUGGCUAUAGUUUAGAACCACAAUAGUGAGGGAAACACACUUUAAGGAGGACCUUGAAAAUCUCUCAAGAGAAUUAUGCCUCUUUAUCUAUGUUUAUGCAACGAUUGGAAUAAAUGAGAGUUCCGUCCCAACCACAUUUGUGGCUUUGGGUUAGGCUGGAAUCCCUCUGAGGAAACUGGGAAGGUUUGUCUCAUCCUUCAGCCCAAACUUUAAAACCAAUGGUGUUGAAUUUUUGAUACACAAAUCAAUGCAUUAACAUCAUGCUUUUACUUGGCAGAAGUAAUAUCAUGGAUUGCCAUGGAUAUAGCAAGUUGGCCCAAAGAGGAGAGGACUGGAGACUUGGAAGCUAGGGGAGCAUAUUUUUUGGGGUCACAUGGGUGAUCUGGAACAGCCCUGAGGUGGGUGCUCUGCAGGGAUCCGGACGAACAUAGGCCUUGCAUCAAGAACAUCUACAGUAUCUCUAGGACACAGGCAGGAGAAGCAUGGUAAGAGAGAGUGGUAGAAGUAGGGUCUGACUGUGGGUACCAGGUUGAAGUCCUAGAGGGCAAGCCUCAGGCAUCACAGAGAUUGAGCUGUACAUCUUUAUGGUUGAGGCAAAAAAAAAAAAAAAAAUUGGAUUCAAUAGCAGCAUUCAAGCAAUUCUUGGAAAGGUAAAGCAACAAUCUUACUCCAUUGAAACAAGGGUACCAAGUAAUAAUCAUUAUAUUAAUUAUAAUAUCAUACUACAGCUACACUUUAUUGAGUACCUGCUAUGAGCUGGAUGUUAUACUAUCUCUUUAUAUAGAUCUCAUUUACUCCUUACUACAAUCCAACAAUGUAGGUUUUAAUUUUCACAUUUUAUAGAUGUGGAAAUUGAGAGAGAGGUUAGCUGACUUACCCAAAGUCACAGUAAUAUAUCAAAUGCAGACAGGAUUUGAACCCAGGACUCUAGUUCUGUUGUCCAUGGUUUAUGCUCAUCCUUCCUGGGCUAGAGGAGACCACAGGGCCUCCGUUCAUAGGCAUAAGACAAGAGCCCAGUUUCCAGAUCUGGGGUACAAGGAUGAUGCAUACACUGGGAAAACUUUUAAGAUUUCUUUCAAGAACAAGAGUCCUAGAGAUUCGGCCUUGGCUGUGUCUGUAAGUAAGAAUGUAAUGGCUCUAGAGUGGGAAAUUAAAGUUGCUAAGCAGGUCCUUAUCCACAUUUAAUUUCACCCUUCCUCACAAUGACAGCUUUUUUCCCACUUGCUAGUGAUUAAGUGCAUGGACUUGAAGUCAUAUGAACUUGGUUGGAAAUGCUGUUUCAUACCCUUACUAGCUGCGUGGUCAUAGGUAAGUUACUUAACCUCUCUGAGCCCUAGCUUUCUCAUCUGCAGGGCUGGUAUCUCACAGGAUUGUGAAGAGUCAGUGAGGACCUGUGUUGACAUGUUUAUCCUAGGGACAGGUUGUCAGCUCAACCUUAGUUGUUCAUUGGAAUCACUUGGAGACCUUAAAAACCCUUGCUGCCAGGCACAUUCCAGAUCAAUUUAUUCAGAAUCACUAGGAAUGGGACCCAGACCUCAGUAUUUGUUUAAAGUUCCCUUUGUCAUUUGAUGUACAGUUAAGGCUGGAGACCAACAUUUAAGUGCUAUGAAUAAUAUUUUUCUCUUGUUUAGGUGAAAGGUAAUUUUCUUCCUCAGUCCAGCAAAGAAUUGGUGAAAUUCCUGAGUAAAAAUAACUAUCGCCAAGCCUUAACCAUAAAAAGAGUAUUUUUCUAUUUAUAAAUAGAGAACUAACUUUUCAUAUUUACUCUCUCAGAAGUUUAGAGUUGCUACAUUUCCUUUGCUUUUUAAGUUAUCAACUUAGCUGUUGAGUUCAACAAUGAACAGGAAUGAGAAACCAAGGCCAUAUUUUUAGGCGGGAAAUAUACCUUCAAAAUAGAUCAUCUUCUAUCUCUUCCCUCCCCUGAAAUCCCACUAACAUAUAGGCAUUUCCCCCCUUGGUGAGCUCCUGUGUUGCAGAGGGGUCUGUGACUGAGUGGUUUCUGAUAGUACCUCUGGGAUUUGGAAAGCUAGAGGGAUGUCCAACCAGAGAGCUGGGUCAGGGGCUGGCUGGGAGUGGGAGGCUAGGAUCAAGCUGCCUUUCUGGGGUAGAGGAUUGUGGGGAAAGCCAGUGGGAAGAUGAGAAACCAGUGCCUAUGGGAGCCCUGAGAGUUCAGAACUGAGAUCCCAGAUGCCAAUGCUGAGCCCACUGAACACGUGUGGGAUUGUGAAUCUGGGAGAACUAAAGGGGAAGUGGGUUGAAUCUGGAGCUUGAAAACAAGUAAAGAGGACACAGAAUGAUUGUUUCAGAGACUGCUGUGUGUCCACUACUUAACUUUGUGGGUGUUAGCAUUUUAUUUCGUGUAUCUGUGGUUUAUUCAUUAUUUCACUAUUGUAUGGUUUUUCACUUUGUAAACAUACCAGAAUUUAUUCAACCAUCCUACCAUUAAUGAACACUUGGUUUGUUUCCAGUUUCUGUUGUCUAUGCACUAUGUGGCUAUGAACAUUCCAAACCAUGUAUCCUGGUGUGUGUGUAAGUGUCUUUACAAUGAUGUGGUAGGCCAAAUAAUAUCCUUCUAAAACCAUUUAAGUCCUAACCCCCUGAGUCUGUGAACAUAUUGUUUUACAUGGCCAAAAAUGAAUGUGCAGAUGGGAUUAAAGUUAAGGAUCUUAAGAGAAGGAGGUUAUCCUGGAUUACCCAGGUGGGCCAAAACUAAUCACCCAAGUACUUAAAAGCAGAAGAUGGAGGCCAAAGAAUUGAUCAGAGAGAUGCAACUCGAGAACUUCUCAACCUGUCCUUGCUGUCUUUGAAGAUGGAGGAGGGGAGCCAAAAGCAGAAGAAUCUGGAGGCCUCUGAAAUGAAGAACAGCCCUCAUGUUAUGGUGAAUAAACAGGGAACUCAGUCCUACAACCUCAAAGAACGGAAUUGUGCCAACAAUGCAAAAGAACAGGGAACAGAUUCUCUCCUAGAGCCUCCAGGAAGGAAUGCAGUCGGCUAACACCUUCCUGUUGUUCCAGGGAGACCCAUAUAGACAUAUGGCCUGCAGAAUUGUAAGAUAAUACAUUUUUGUUGUUUCAAGCCAGCAGGUUUGUGGUAAUUUGUUAUGGCAGCAAUAGAAAGCAAACAGAUAUAUAACUAAGAGUGGAAUUACUGGGUUGUGAAUUCUUGUUUUCAGCUUUGUGAGCUAAUGACACACUGAUUUCCCAAGGCAAUUAGUGCUCCCACAAGCAUUCAAUGGAGUGUUUCUUUUAUUCCAUAACUUCACAAACACUUGGUAUAUUCAACUCUAACAUUUUUGCCAAUCUUGUGGGUAUGAACUGGUUUUAAUUUUUAUCUUGUUACUGAUGAAACGUUUCAUAUACUUUUGGACUAUAUAUUUUGUUUUCAGUGAAACGCCUGCUUUGUCUUUUGCCUGUUUUUAAUUCUAUAUUUGUUUGACUUUUAUAUUUUUUUCUUGAAAUUCUUUAUAGUGUUUAUAGUGUUCCAGUCUUCUGUUACUCCUUCAAGUCUGUGGUUGUUUUUUCACUUCCUUUCUGGUAUGUGUGGUAACCAUGGGAGUGCACUGUUCAGAGAGAACCUACUGUAAGGAAAGUAAUUAGUUGACAUCCUUCAUUAGCCACACCUUUGGGUCACAUGCUACUGGUCAAACCUGAGCAUGGUGGAGGUACUGAAGCCUGCCCAGGGCUUUCUCAGUGUGGCACUGCAGGCAGAGGCUCUUCCUAUCCAAUCCUUCUUCUCGCCCCUCUCUUUUCCUAGGUGUCAGGCCCGAAUCAUAGUCUCAGACUCUCCCCCACACUGCUGCUCCUUCUUGCCUUUAUUCUUCACAGGUGCUGUCCCCAGCAAAUCUCUUGCACCUUUAAUUCCACCUUGUCAUCUACCUCCUGGGGAACCCAGACUAGCACAGUAUUUUUUGAUAAAUGUAAUUCUACUCUUCCUCCUCUCUUACCUCCUCUUUCUCUCUUUAUUUCUUCUUAUGGAAAUUUUAAAACAUAUACAAAAGUAAAGAGAGUUGUAAAAUAACUUCCACAUACUCAUUGCCCAGUUUCAGUAGUUAUCAACAUGUUUUCUAAUCUCAUGUCAUGUAUUUCCCUCCACUUUUUUUUUUCCUGGAAUAUCUUAAAGCAAGUUCUGCGUCAUAUUAUUGCACUAGGACAUACUUCACUAUGUAUCUCUAAUAGAGUCUUUCUUAAAAAAAAACAAAAUCACAUAAUACCAUGAUUUUAUCUAAUAAAAUUAAUGAUUCCUUAAUGUCAUCUAAUACUCAAUAUGUGUUCAAAUUUUUGUGGUCGAACAGAAAUGUUUUAAUGCAGCUGGGAAAUCAGCUUUUUCUUUUAUGGUUUACACUUUCUACAUCUUGUUCAGGAACAUGUGUUCAACAAAAUAUUCUCCUAUAUUGCCUUCUAAUUUUUUGUACUUUUUUGCUUUUGCACAGUUAAGUCUUGAAUCAUAUUGAGUUAGUUUUUGUGUAUGAUAUGAAGUAGGGUUCAGUCUUUCUCCAUAUGCCCAAUUUCACCAGUUGUCCAAACACCAUUUAUUGAAUAGUCAGUUUUUUAAAAAAUUAUUUUUAUUUCACUUUAAGUUCUGGGAUACAUGUGCAGAAUGUGCAGGUUUGUUAUGUAGAUAUACAUGUGCCAUGGUGGUUUGCUGCACCUAUCAACCCGUCAUCUAGGUUUUAAGACCCGCAUGCAUUAGGUAUUUCUCCUAAUGCUCUGCCUCCCCUUGCCUCCCACCCCCUGACAGGCCCCAGCGUGUGAUGUUCACCUCCAUGUGUCCAUGUGUUCUCAUUGUUCAACUCCCACUUAUGAGUGAGAGCAUGCGGUGUUUGGUUUUCUGUUCCUGUGUUAGUUUGCUAAGAAUGAUGGCUUCCAGCUUCAUCCAUGUCCCUACAAAAGACAUGAACUCAUUUUUUCUGGCUGCAUAGUAUUCCAUGGUAUAUAUGUCCCACGUUUUCUUUAUCCAGUCUGUCAUUGAUGGUCAUUUGGGUUGGUUCCAAGUGUUUGCUAUUGUAAAUAGUGCUGCAGUGAACAUGUGUGUAUAUGUGUGUUUAUAGUAGAAUGAUUUAUAAUCCUUUGGGUAUAUGCCCAGUAAUGGGAUUGCUGGGUCAAAUGGCAUUUCUGGUUCUAGAUCCUUGAGGAAUCGCCAUAGUGUCUGCCACAAUGGUUGAACUAAUUUACACUCCCAGCAACAGCGUAAAAGCAUUGUGAUUGCUCCACAGCCUUGCCAGCAUCUGUUGUUUGCUGACUUUUUUUUUUUUUUUUUUUUUUGAGACGGAGUUUUGCUCUUGUUGCCUAGGCUGGAGUGCAAUGGCAUGAUCUUGGCUCACCACAACCUCUACCUCCCGGGUUCAAGCCAUUCUCCUGCCUCAGCCUCCAGAGUAGCUGGGAUUACAGGCAUGCCCCACCACGCCCAGCUAAUUUUUGUAUUUUUAGUAAAGAUGGGGUUUCUCCAUGUUGGUCAGGGUAGUCUUGAACUCCCGACCUCAGGUGAUCUGCCCGCCUCGGCCUCCCAAAGUGCUGGGAUUACAGGCAUGAGGCACCACGCCCGGCCCCCUGACUUUUUAAUAAUCGCCUUUGACUAGUCAGUUCUAGUCCCAAGAUAUACAAUGUUACUUUUGCCAUAUAAAAGUCAAUUGUUUUGUGGGUCUUUCUCUCUUCUCUAUUUUAUUCCUUUGGUCUAAUUUAUUUCUGGUUAGUACCACACUACCCUAGUCAAUACAAUGUAUAGCAAGUCCUUACAUCUGGUAGGGCAAAUCUUACCUUAUUCUUUCUCUCAAUUAUUGUCUUAUUUUUAUUGAAUAUUUGUUGUCUUAUAUAAAACUUAAAAUCAAUUUGUUGAAUUCCUGGAAGCAAUUUGUUAAUAUUUUGAUUGAAAUUGCACUGAAUUUAAGAACAACUUGGGAAAGCAUUGAUAUCUUAACGAUUUGGAGUCUUUCCAAUCCUAAAUAUGAUAUAGCCAUCUCUUAGGUGCAAAUGUCUUUCCAUAAACCUCUAUGGACUUCCCAGAGAUCUUUCAUGUCUUUUGAGAAGUAGCAAAGGAUAGUGAUGAGGAGUACAGAAUCUGGCACCAGACUACCUGGGUGUGAAUCCUGCUAUUUACUGGGUGUGUAAACUUAUGUAACCUCUCUGUGCCUCAAUUUCUUCAUCUUUAAAAUGGAGAUAAUUAUACCACUUUAAAGGGCUACUAUAAAUAGUAAAUUAAUAUAUAUGAAAUAUUUUGAAAGAGGUCUGAGAAAUAGUUAAGAAUCACGUAAAUGUUUACGGCUAGUAUUAUUUCUUCCUAGCUUCCUUUCACUUGUUCUAUUUCAAAUAAGACAGGAUUUUUUUUGUAAUUACGUUUUUCUAUUUCUGAUACAUACAUGUAACUCAUUUUUAUAUAUUCGUUUUAAACUUAAUUCUGUUGUGGUCAGAUUCCAUUUGUUCGAAAUUUCUUGAGAAUUGCUGCAUUUGGUCAGUUUUCAUAAAUAUUCCAUGAAUUCUAUUAAAUAAUGUGUAUUCUUCAGGUGUUGAAUAUGGAUUUCCUUAGAUGUUCAUUAAAUUGAGCUUAUGAAUUGUGUUGUUCAACUCUUCUUUGGGACUAUAUUUAAACUGUGUGGGUUUCACUAGAUCAUUGGAUGAAAUUGAGAUAGUAAGAUAGAAAUCUCUAGACAAUUUUAAAAUUUCUAAAUGCACAUUGGAAAUUAUAUAUAUACAAUAACAAUGUGUUUUCUCAGUUUAAAUAAAGCAUAAGGGGUUUUUGCUUUUUACUGGGAUUGGAUUAAGUUAUUAUGUUCAGAGUGGUACUUAUAUACAUUUUUAUUUUUAAAAUGAAAUUAUUGGACAAUAAAAUGCCACUAUAUUUGUACUAAUUUUUUAAAAAUCUCUUUGACCUAUCAAGAAUUGAGAGAAAUGUGUUGAAAUCUCUCACUAUGAGAAAGGAUUUGUCCAUUUGUAUCUGUAGUUCUAUCAACUUUUGAUUUAUAUCAUUUGAAGCUAUUUUAUUAGUUAUCUGCAAUUUUAGAAUUGUUGGAUCUUCCUGGGGAGUUGAAAUCUUUGUCAUUAUGUUGGGACACACUCUAGCCACAAGAAUGGAUUUUGUCUCAAGGUCUAUCUCAUCUGCUGUUAUUAUAGCCAUCUCAGCUCUAUUUUUAUUAGUAUUUGCAUGGUUAGUUUUUUUCUGUCCUUUUAUUCUCAACUAUCUCAUGUCCUUAGAUAUGUUUUAGGGGAACUGCUUAUAAUCAACAGUAGGUUUUACUUUUUAUCCAAUCUGAAACUCUUAUUUUUUAACUGGCAAGUUUAAUAUAAUCCCACUUACUGUGAUGUCUGAUAUAUUUGGGCUUGUUUUUGUUUUUUUUUUUUUUUUUGCCAUCUUACUUUCUUUCUUCUAUUUGAUUCACAUUUCCUCUGAUUCUUCUAUGUAUCAUCUUGCCUUUUGGGGGGCUUGGUGGGAUAUUUUGUUUAUUUAUUCCAUUUUUCCCUCUAUUAGUUUGUAAGUAUUCAUUUCAUUUCUGUUUUAGUGAUCACCCUUGAAAUUUUGCAAGUAAGCUUAACAAAAUUAGUAAGCAAUACCAAUAGUUUUUCACUGGGAAAAUACACAGACCCUUAAUAUGCUUUAAUUCUAAUCAGUCUUUCUUCCAUCUUCAGUAUUUUGUCUCUUCUAAGACAUCAGGUUUGAGAUUAUCACUACUUUAUGCAAAUAAUGUUGUUUAGAUUUACCUCCAGUUUAGACAUUUCUUUGCUCACUUUUCCUCUUGUGUCUCUCAGGUUGUCCUUCUGAAACAAGUUUCUCUAUCUCCUCUGGAAGUGCAUUUAGUAAAGAUCUUUUAGUUAUGAUCUCAACUUUUGUUUGCCAAAAAUGUGUUUAUAUUGCCUUUGUUCUUGAAAUACAGUUAUGCUGAGAGUAUAAGUUGGCAGUGAUUUUCUGUCAGCACUUUGACAAUAUUAUUUCAUUGUUUUCUAGUUUCCCUUAUUGCUAUAAGGAGCCUACCUGUGAUUUAUGGAUCGUUUUAUUUCCUGUUGCUUUUCAAAUUUUCCCUUUGUCUUUGGUGUUCUAUAGUUUCACUAAAACCUAUCCAGGUGUGGAUUUCUUUUUUAUUUUGCUUUUUAUUUUAAUGUGCUUCCUGUGUUUGUGAGUUCAUAUUUUCUCAAUUCUGGAAAAUUCUGAGCCUUGAUUUUGCACGCUGGCUUUCCCCAUACUUCUGGGGUUUGCUGCAGUACACCUCUGCAGGUAUGGACAUCUGCCAAGUUUUCUGAGACAUCCACAAUAAUGCAACUAAUCACAACUUCAGGGCCUCUACUAGAUCAUAUGGUACCUUUGUGCAUUAGAAAAAAAGGUGCCCCCUUCAAGGAUGGGAACAUUUGGUUCAGUGGGCAGAAAGCAUGACUUAGAGAGCAGGGAUCAGGGUUGGGUUUUAGUUUCCUGUUGCACCACUAACUGGAUUCCUUUUUGGUGGGCACACCUAGCACAACCAUUUGCCCCACCUCUGAAAUGACAAAACCUGUGGUGGCUGUGGGACACUCAGCACUGUGUUAAGAUCAGAGGCACAGGGAGUAGCCCCAAAGAUUGCAGAAGUCUUCACGUUGUGCAUUAGGGAAAGACCUCUUGAUUACAGGCUGGUCUCUUCAACAAUAGUUGUGCACAGACACUCUACCCAUUAUUGGGGCACCUUCCAACACUGAGACAAGUUAUGGAUACUGUCUCCUAGGAAUUGCAUGGCUCCUAUGCACAGAUUUAACAUUUGUUUCCUUCUACUUGCACUCUUUCUCAGAGAAGCUUAUAGAAAAACAAAUUAAUUGGUCAUUUUUAAUAUUGAAAAACACCAGUGUGACUUCAAAAAUUCAGAUCAGUAAAGAAAUUAAAAGACCAUAUGCCAGGGAUGUUCAGCCUUUUUUCAUGACAUAAAAUGCAUUUUCCAAGCAUUUCUGAUCUUCCAAGUGAGUGCAUAGAUCAAACACAGAAAAAAGAGAGCAUUGAGAUUUAGUUUUAACUGAGCACUCACACUGUGCUCAGGACUGGGCUGGCACUGAGCACUACACUUCAAAGGUACAAGAGGAAUAUUAGCAAAACACCACCCUGGCAGUCCCUGGGCCCUGCAGCCUGGAGAGUUGCAGGCCACUGAAUCACACAUCCCAUCCUCUAAUUUCACUUGGGAUUCAUCGGCCUAAGUAACCUAAUUGAGUGUCAUAAUUGAUUUGGGAGACUCAUUUCCUUCCCUGGAAAUCAUUAAAGGUGGCUGCGUCAUGCUUAAAAUAGCACUUUUUCUAAAGGAAUCCCCUGGACUCGUUCAUGAGGAAGAAAGACCCUGUCAGCAGGUGGCUUCUCAGUCCUGCCGGUCCAUGACCUGCCCAGACCUGCCCUCUGCACAAAGGUUGCUAGUGGCUCCUCGGGCCUCCCCACCAGGCGCCUUUCAGAGUACACAAAAAGGGCAUACUGCCAUUCCUAAUGGAGGCAGCCACCCUGGGCAAAGGGCUGGCCACUGGCGUUGUUGUGGUCAUCACCCCAAUUAGCAAGACACACUCUGUGCCACUAAAGAAUUUUUAGCAGGAAAUUCUUUUGUGAGUGACUCAACUUCCCUGCAUGAAAUACCUAGAUAUUGUGACUUCUUUUUCGAAGCCAAUGUUAAAUUCCUAAUUAAACUCUUACCUUUGAGGUUUUCCAACCGAGAAAACCCACUAGAGGUGGCCCUAAGGAAUUUGCAAUUCCUUCUGUUGGAUUUCACCAGUGAGAGGUGAAGCUGGGAAUAGCCACACUGCUGAGAAUACCUUUGUAGUCACAGGAGGUGGUUCUCUUUUCCCUUGAUUUUAAUCCCUCUUUUACUUAGGAUGGAAAUAGCCUGAACCCAAAUCUGAAAGAGUGAUAUCAAGUCUGGAUAAAGAUGCUGAAGUGUAGGGUCACAAAUGGAAAGCUCUCUGAGGUUUAAUUUUGUGAAAUUCAUUUAUCCCUGAAAGCACUUUAUCCUUAAACAUGCAUCUGUGUCUACAAUAGAAACUGCCACUUGAAUUACACCUCCUACAAGUGUAAGCCACCCUCAAUUUAGAAUCAUUUCCAUAAUCCUGAGAUAGUCUCAAGUCUACAGAUAGCAUCUCAAAAAUCAUCUAACAAAAAACUGUUAUUGAUGAGGUAGGAGAUUCCUUUGCCUAUUCCUUGGCUUAAUUGUUCUCACUGUUUCAAAGUGUCCAACUUAAAUUUUCUUACUGCCACUUAAAUUUUAUGUCUCUGUGGAAAUGAAUAAUAGAUGCUGCAUAUUUUAAAGGGCUUACGACAAUAUUUCUUAGGGUACAUAAUCACAAUUUUAUACUAUAGACUGCACAUUUUAACAGUCACAGCUACAGACAGAUGUAUAAAUUGACCCAACUUAUAAAUAAGCCCAACUUAUUUUAUAUACAUAUGUGUGUGUGUGUAUAUAUAUAUAUAUAUAUAUAUAUUUAACAUUAUAUUUUUUAACAUGCACUCUUCAACUGGGCUAUAUCAGCCCCAACAGUUGGAGAGUGUAUAUGCUAAAACUACUAGCCCGUGGCAUUCUUCUUCAUUCUCAUUUGCAGACAUUUUGGGAUUCAGAGAUUAUUUUUAUCACUUCAUCUUUUACCACUAAAUUAAUAAAUGUAGAUGAUUUUGUUGUACCAAGACAGUUUUCCAAACACUGAUUUUGAAUUUAGAUGGAAGAAGCCUGAUUUUUUUUUUUUUUUUACUAGGUCCUAAACUGACUCUGGGGACUAAAGAAAAAAAGUAUAACUUAUCAUGGAAGUUGCUUAAGUGCAAAAUUAAUCAGGUCAGGGGAGGAUUGGAUAUGGAGAUUAAACUGUCAUGCUUGGAUCUGGAAGAAGAAAAAGAGAGGACUGUGUUGUUAGGUGGAGGAUGGCUUGCAUUCCUGCCUUGUUCCAACGCUUACUAGCAAGCUGACUUCGGGAAGAUUAGGUAACUCAUCUCAGUUUCCUCAUCUGUAAUGCAAAGGUAAUAAUGAUAUAGAUUAGUUAUUGGGAGGAAUAAAUGAGAAAGUUGAUUCUUAGCAUAGUACGUGGCAUUAUUGGACUUAAUGAACUUAAUCUGUACAGGUUGUUAUCAACUAUCACGACUCUUCUCUAAAGUAAGUCCAUUUGCCCUCCUGAUGCCAUUCCUCUUCCCAUUGCUGGGUCCUGGCUACAACAAUUACUUCUGUCCCACCUCUCUUACCACCCUUAGCUGAAAUCACCUUAAUUGCCUCCUGCCUGGAAAAGUAAAUAAUGUUUAUUUGUUUAUGUGUCUGGUUCCCUGUUAGAGUCUGAACUCAAGAGCUAGGCAAUUAUCUCUGUAGAUCCCAAUAAGUAGGUGAGCAAUUUGUUAAAUAAGUCAGAUCUAGAAAACAGUCAGAUUUCCUCCAUUUUUUCCUAUUAGGAAUCUACCUUCCAUUUUUUAAACAGCUGAAUCUGAUAUCUGCCUUUUUUUGUUUUGUUCUGUGUUUUGACAGGCAGUGUACCACAGUUGUCUGCACAUGGCUCCUGGAGACAGUGAGGCCUGGGUGGGAAUCAUGGCCUUACCAUUUACUAUUGUGUGACUUUGAUCAAAUGACUAUUUACAUCUCUGGUGCCUACAUUUUGCACAUAUGUAAAAUGGAGAUCAUAGUACCUGCCACCAUAGAAUUGUUGUAUUAGGUCAUGCAUGAAAAGCAUGUAGCUUAGUGCUUGGCACAUUAACCCUGUCCACCAUUAUUGUUAUUAGAAUUGAGGAAUCUCCAAAACCAUGGUGCUGUAGCUACUAGAAAAUCCAACAGAUUGUGCUAGUGUGUCAACAUUAAUGGUUCUGUCAAAACUACAAAAAAAGUGGAAACAAAGAAAAGGGGGAUCAUUUUUAUUCCGUUCACAGACUCUUCAAUGCAUGCUUGAGUGAUUAACGAUAUGAGUGUGUGUUUUAAUUCACACAAUUAACUUUUCAUUUCACAUUCAAAUAAUUUGAGUACAAAUUGGGAAAAACUGUACUUCAUUCUUUGGGAAACAUAACUGAAGAUGAAAAAGAAAGUUUUCCUAAAGUAGCUUAGAUUUCUUUGGGGUUUUAAAUAGUAUUAUACCUAAAAUCUAUUAUGCCUUCAAAGUUUCAAAAAUUAAUAUUUGGUGACCAUAAAAAUUAAAAUAAUCCAAAUAAUGGAUUGGAUCAUUUAUGUAGCAUAUAUCUUGAUACUAGAUAAAUAAAUUUUCUCUAUUCUUUUUGUGUUGGUGAUUAUUUUUCUAUGAUUUCCCUCAAUUUUUUACAAAGAAGAGAAGAUACUUUAUCAUAUCCUAAAUAUGCCCAAACUAGUUUACCAAAAUAUGUACAAUAUAUAUAGAAUUCAAAUAAUUUGCAUCCUUAAUGUAGAAUUAGUGGGAAAAACACACUCUCAUUUAACAAAUGGGCAACAGACAUGAACAGGCAAUAUACAACAGAAGAAAUACAAAUAGCCAGUAAACACAAAUAAAACAAUAAAAUAAAGCAAUAAAUAUUAUUUCAAUAUAAAGUGUUCACUUGACUUGAGUGUGCAUUUAAUUUUAUUAAAUUCUUCAUGAUUCAAUUGCAUUUAAAUGAAUCCUGCAGAUGAAGAGACAUUUUUAUCUUUUCAGACAACAUUAUUACCUCAAUUUUACAUGCUAUCCAAAGCAAUGGGAAAUAAAAGUUCAAAGAGAUGGGAAGAGGUAUGAAUUACAAUGACAAGUGGCAACAUGUUAAAUAUUCAAACUGAGGGCCAUCUGCUCUGCUCUAAAGCCUCUGAAUAAAGUAAUUUCCAGACUUGAGGCCAGUGCAAUUUUUGACCCAUGUUUUUGCAUCUUAAAACCCUUUUGCAGCCAGGUGUGGUGACUCAUGUCUGUAAUCCCAGUACUUUGGGAGGCCAAGGCAGGCGGAUCACUUGAGGUCAGGAGUUCGAGACCAGCCUGGCCAACAUGGUGAAUCCCCGUCUCUACUAAAAAAUAUAAACAUUAGCUGGGUGUGGUGGUGCAUGCCUGUAAUCCCAGCUACUUGGGAAGUUGAGGCAGGAGAAUUGCUUGAACCCAGGAGGUGGAAGUUGCAGUAAGCUGAGAUCACGCCACUGCACUCCAGCCUGGGUGACAGAGCAAGACUCUGUCUCAAAACAAACAAACAAACAAAAUCCUUUUGCCAUCUUGCUCUUUAUCAGCCCUGUGGGUUGAAGCUUCUUCUUCAGUCCUGAUGAUCACACAUGCCUUUUACCUAUGAAUAGAGAUGCUGCCUUUGACUCUGUCCUAGUUCUUGACUCUGCCUUUGGAUUUUUUUUUUCUUGAGUCUACCUAACGUGAAUUGCAUUUGAUAGUUUGGAUAUUCCAGAAAAACUUCCUCACAUAUUGUCUCCUAAUUUAUUUUAAGUAUUAAUAGUUAUCUUUGAAAAAUAUCUUCUACAAUUUUAAUAAGAUAAGGGAAAUCAUGAUUUAAAAGAGUGUUUUUAAUUGGAAUCUUGAAGGAAGAGCCUAACACCUUUUCCAACAUGGAAUUUUAAGCUCUCUUGAUCCCUAAUUUAUUACCACUGGCCACAAGAGGUGACAUUUCCUACAAAGUUUAGGGAAUUUAUGGCAAUACUAAUAAGAACCAAUCCUUGACUUGCCACCCACGUGCAGUUCAAAGCUGUUCUUCUGGAGAACAUGGAGUCUGUGGUGUCUUAGACUACUGACUUUGCUGUUAUUCAUCCUACCCACCCUUCAUUUUUCUCCAUGAGUAACUGCUUUCCUCUUAGUCCUAGUAACCCAGAGGCACAGAUGUCCAAAGACAACAGUCAGAUGGAAAUGUAAAUCACAGAUCUCCACACCUGAAAACACCAUUGGCAAACUGAAAACCAGACUAGCUCUGGGAAGCAAUUGCUAUCAGAUUGCACAGAUGAAAUUAACCUGAUACACAUGAAAAGGUCACUGUCUAAAGAUAUUUAAAAAAGAGAGAAAUUUAUAUAUUUUGUAAAGGAUUGUUGCUGUUGGGCCACUUUUACAUGGUGAGAGUUUUGGAGCUCUGAGUGUGUGUGUGUGUGUGCGCGCAUCUGUGUGUGUUUCUGUGUGUUUGUGUUUAAAUUUGGAACUUGGGGGGUUUCAUUUAAAUUCUAAGUAAUGUCUUUUAGGGACCUACAGUGUUGUUGUUGUUAUUUACAAAUCUGUGUUUCUUCAGAAUUUCUUAUCUUUCUCUCCUUUCAUGCUAAAGCUGUGAGAAAAAGCCCUGAGCUGUCUCCCUAAAUGGCUGUGUCUCCUGCAGUGGCUUGGUACCAUCAAGUCAGAUGAAGGACACAUUGGGCGAGGUGCCCAUCUACUGCCUGGAGAACAUGCCCAGGAGGCUGGAACCUGUUCCCUUUCAGAGAUGAAAUCCUGUCUUCUCAUCAACUCACAAGACAAAGAGGACUUUUCUGACAUCUAGCUGAAGGAGAGGGAUUGUUUCAAGUCUUGUGCAGCGGAAUUUCCCAUAGUUUGUUCUGUUGAUCCUUAGUUUUUCAAGAUGCCCAUAGGAAAAAAUAUUUUUGUGGUCAAGUCAGUUAUGGAAACCUCUGCCUUUGAGCUAUUUAUAGCUUCUUAAGGCAUAUUAGCAUGAACAUGUUCUGAGACUUCCUGUGUUGAAAAGAAACUCUGUUUAACUUUGUUUAGCUUAGUGAUUUCCAAAUUUGUUUGACCACAGAACCCUUUUUUGGGAAACAUUACUAAUAUUUCAUGGAACUAGUGGGCUACAGAAAACACAUGGGAUAUACUGAUGGACGGUGUUAGGAUGAUGGAUCAGAUGGAGAGUGGGAAGAACAAUGGAUUUAAAGUCACAGACCUAUGUUCAAGUCUAAUCGGCUGUUUACCAAAAAUGCAACAUUUUUUAGGGAGAUCUCUAAACCUCUCUCACUCUUGGUUUCCUCAUCUAAAAAUGGGAAAUAAUAAUAUUUAUUACACAGGGUGUUUGUGGGGAUGAAAGGACACAAUGUGGAAGAACAUGGGAGCAGGGCUUGGUUCAACUUCAAUUAAAUCAGACUCUUCUUGACAAGUAAACACUGGGACCAGAUGACAAUGGGAUACUGGCACAGAAGUGAUCUGCAGAAGUCUUGUUGCUGUCUACAUACACAUAUGUGUUCCAUGACUUCAUAUAUUGUUGGAAGUAGCAGCUUAUUGAUGGCUUGGGGUAUAGUUGAAAAGGAUAGGGGCCCUUCUAUAGCACCAAGUUGGCUGUCUUCAGUGUUGGUCAAGAUUAGCUGUCUUAAAGUCCAAAGGAUUGGACCGGCUAGAUAUUUUGUUGUACCUCAGAAAAAUUAUCUUAAUUUCCUAGAUAUUUUGUUGUACCUCAGAAAAAUUACCUUAAUUUUCUACCCUCUCCAAAUUUUUUCACCACAGAAUAUUUUUUUGGAGAAAAAUUAUCAAUAUUUUAUGGAACUAGUGGGCUAUAGAAAACACACAGGAUGUACUGAUAAAACACAGUAGUAAAACACAUUGGUUUAUGAAUGAUCUCUGUAUUAAACCAUCUGUACAUAUUGGUUUAAUAAAAGUUCAUUGCUAGAUCUAUCUGCUGAAUUUCCAUUCACCUUCAUUAAUGGAUGCUUUAAUUUGCAGUUCUCAAAAAGCUUUACAAAUGAAUUAGGGUAGACACAAAGCUGUGCCACCCAGAGCAUCUUCAGUGAUGUGCUGCACCCAAUAGCGAGGGGGACUUUCAACAGAGUCCCCAGUCCUCAGCUCAGGGAGGCUCCACCUCUGUCGCAGAAAGCGACCUUAUUGGACGUCACACCUCCUCAGGGUGGUUCACAUCCAGUGACUGAUCCAGGCAGGGGAAAAAAACAUUGGGCCGUUUUGGCCCAAUGUGAGAAAGCUCAGACAGCUGAUAUAUGCUUCAGCACCACGCCCCACCCCUAGGUGAGUGGCCGAGGCUUUGUCAGGGCUGCACUGCAGUUUGAUAUGCAAUCGUCUGCAAAAAAAACUGACUUGCAAAAAAUUGCAGUUUGGUUUCUGCUCAGUCCUUCUUCUUUCACUUAUUUUCACAAGUAUCCAUCCAAAAUUCCUUCUGUAGAAGCCAACCUAUACCCAGAGGUUGGUGCUUCGGCUCUAUACCUCCUAAAUACCUAUUCGGUGUCUCUUGACUACAGUAUUCUCUCUCUAACUUGACUGCAAGUUCCUUGUGGGCAAAAAAUAUAUAGCGAUUUCUAUAUGCCACAGUUUCUAUGGUUGUGCCACAGAUACAGAAGAUAGCUGUUAAAUACAUUUUGAAUGAAAGGAUAUUCCCUUUUUAAGAUGGAUACUUCCAUUUCUGUACAUAGCAAGUGGUCAGAAAUUAAAAGUCAUGUUAGAACUCGGGAAAUUCUGUCAGUUUUUUCAGCUUUGUUUAGUGGCUCUUUCUGUGUCCACUUACACUGUGGAAAUUUCUGGUAUGUAUUAUGUUUCUCACUCCCUUCUUUUCCUCCUUUUCUUUCUAUGUCCAGAACUAACAUUGAUGUCCAAAAUUUCUCCACCUAUAUCCUGCUACUCCUUCUAUGAUAGUUGAAAUGAUAUUUUUCUUUAUGAAUUGUUAUUCACAGCAACCUUCUUGACUAAUGUAUUCAAAAAUUGUGAAUGCCAUUUUCCCCUUAAAUAGGCCCCUUUAGACAAAUAACUGCUAAGCAUUUUUCCCUGUGAAUAUGUAAAUAGGUUAAAAACGAAGAUGCAGCCAGUGUUGUGUGAAUAUUAUUCCAACAUUACACUUAAGAUCCUUUCAGCACCAUUUGCUAACAUUUUGUACUCCUAGCCAAAGUGCCAAAAAUUGCUCUCUCCUCAUGUAAUUUUCAAAAAUUUCACUGGCACAAAAUGAAGUAAAAUCUCUAUCUGCAGGAGAGAGCAAACUUCAUUUAGCGUGUUUUACAAAGUGCUAAAUAGGUUUUCUAUUUUGGGAGUGGAGUAGCAGAACGUGAGCUUCCUGCUCUCCUGAUCAAACAUUUGCAAUUCUGUUUCUGCACAGAUUGCACAUUUCAGGUUGUCUUUGGCUAUAUUAACAUAAGACUUGUUGUUUUAUGCAAAAGAAAAGAAAUACAAUUACAAUGUGUUCAUGGGAUGUAAUAUCAGUUCUGGAAGGUUAUUUUUCCUUGUCUUUAAUGUUUUUAUUAUUUAAGAUAAAAUAGUGAUUAGAGUCCCUGCAAGAGGCUUUUGUAUUCAACUGGUUUCAGAGUAAGAGCUCUUAUUUGCUAUCUUCUAGGGCACCAUCCAAAAGAAAACGGCCAUGUUCUCACUGAUGAGAUAUUUAGGAUACCGGAUCGCUAGCAUCCUUUCAAGUAGCCCAUUAUAUCCAUGUCUCAAAGAAACCAUACGUAACUAUUUGCUGGAUAUAUUUUCUAAGAGAAAAGUACUUGUCUCAUAAUAUGAUAAGAAUAAUAAUUAUAGCUAAGAUUUAUUGAUUGCUUAUAUAUUCCAAGCACUAUAUGACAUGCAUGAUCUCAUGGAAUUGUCACAACUGCCCUCUGAGUUAGCAUCUAUUUGAUUUGACUCCAGACCCUGAGUCCUGUACCACUUGGCAAUACCAUCUCUCACGUAAAGAGAGCAUGCAGUGCUAUACCUCACCUCCCUAGUAGAAUACCGUUUAGUUCAUAAGUAAACUUGACUGAGAGAACAUGGAAACAGAGUUAGGGAGGUGGCUGCAGAGCACACCAGAGACCGAAACAUAUUACUGCUUUGUAAACUUCUCAAUAUUUGCACCAUAAAACACAUAUGCUUAGAGUAUUUACACACUUCUCCAGCUUUUCUCAAUGCUUAAUAUGUGGAUAUAUUUAAUAUCUAACUGUAGUUUGAAAGGAGCAAACAUUCCUUCAAAACCAAUGAAGGCUGGAGGAUUGACCUAGGCAAUUGAUUUUUGAAGAGUAAUGAUACUAGUGAGCAUUAGCCCUUUAUAGAUAUCUGCUAAUUCACCCUCUCAGAAGCUAUUAACAAAGAAAGAAAUAAACUCUGUGACUCUUACAUGGGGAUCCAAUUGUAUCUUUAAUCUCACAUAGCUAUCUCUCAAGUAUAUAUCACCAUUGUGUGCAAGUAUCUUAAAGUUGUGUUGCACAUAUCACCUGGGGAGAGGAUGGCAGUCGGAGGUGGGAGUGGGAGUGGGAGUGGGCAAACAACUUCACUGAGGAAUCCAGAGAACUAUGCCUUGCAUAUUAUAGACAGCCAGCAUAUCUGGUCCCUGUUUCCAAAAAAUCUUACAUGUAUAGUUUGUAUAUUUAAAAAUCUAAGCUUUUGGAAGAGAAAAAAACUCAAGACAAUAUAUAGGAUAACUAAAAUAAUAUGUGACCCAAACAGUAAUAACUACCAAUUCAGAGGAAAGAGAAACAUCACUGUGGUCCCAGAACAUAAGAGAAACUUUGAGCUGGACUUUUAGGAAUGAGCAAGAUUUGGAUAAACUAAGUAGUUAAGAGGUCAGCAAAGUUGUUCUGUAAAUGACCAGAUAGUAAAUAUUUCAGGCUUUGUGGGCCACAUAUGAUCUCUUUUGAAACUACUCAACUUUACCAUUGUAAUAAAAAGUAGCCAUAGACAUAUUAGGUAAGUGAAUGGGCUGGGUUAUGUUCUAAUAAAACUUUAUUUACAAAAAAGAAAAAAGGCUGCAGGCUGGAUUUGUCAUGCAGGCUAUAGUUUGCUGACCCCUGGUACAGACCAUGGAGAAGUACAUCUUAGGAAAGAGGUACUCUCAAAGGAAUAGGGAGGGAUAUAUAUCUGGGACAAUGGAGAAUGGGAAAGACAUGAUGAAUCAGUGAAACAUAAUGUAUGAAAGAAACUAUACAUGACUAAAUAUUCAUGGAAUAUAUUUUCUUCUUGUGGAAGGUAGACACAGCAUCAUCUCUACCCAUAAAAGAUGGCAUUCUGCAAGACUGAGAAGAUGCCCACCUCCAUUCCCAGAGUCCAGGCCUUCAUUAACUCACACGAGAACUACAGAAGCAUCACCCCUAGUUCUCCUAUUAGUCACUCCUCCUCAACUGCCUCUAAUCCAUCCAUCCAUCUAUCCGGCAUGGGUCAUGUAAAGUUACAGCUGAGAAGGUACUCCCUCUCUUAAACUCAUCGGGGCUCCAUGUGGCUUCAAGAUUGAAAAUAAAACUACUGUGUAUGGUAUAUAAACUUAAGCUCUCAAGAGUGUGCCCACUCCCUGUGCUCCAGUCAUGGAACACUCUUUGCAGUUCUUUGAGCAUGCUCCGGUCUCUCUUUCAUGCUUUAUAUAAGCUGUCCUCUUUUAUUGGAACAUACUUCCUUCCCAUCCUGCCCCCAACACCCAACUUGUCUACCUGAGGAGCACUUAGUCAUUGUUAAAGACCCAGUCCAAGUUUUUCCUCCUUGGAAAUACUUCCCUGACCUACUUUGUCUGGGGUUUGUGCCCGCUUUCCUGUUUCUAAUGUUCCCUGAACCUACCUCUACAGUAGCAACCAUAUUCCAUUAUACAGUAUUUACUUAUUGACCCAUCCCUCUUCCCUGCCAGACCUUGAACUCCCUGAGGGCAAAAACCUUCCCAUUCUCAAUCUCUGCCACCUAACAUGGCCUGGCAGUUUACGAACGAACAAAUGCUUAAAUAUUAACUUAUUGAUCAUUGAAUGAAUGAAUGAAUAUCUAAAUCCUGUUGUCUAUUUUUAAACACAGGGACAAUUCUCAUAUAGUCUAACAUCUGUAUGAUAAAAAGUAUAAAGAUGGCAUUAAGAAAAACAGAAAGAAUAUGUACCAGAAAGGCUUAAUAAUGGUUAUUACAUUUCUUAAAAUAUAUUUUCUAUGUUAUAAAUGUACUCAUUUUAUAAUAAAAACCUCAAUAUAAGAUAAAUAGUA